UACGUAGGGUGCGAGCGUUAAUCGGAAUUACUGGGCGUAAAGCGUGCGCAGGCGGUUAUGUAAGACCGAUGUGAAAUCCCCGGGCUUAACCUGGGAACUGCAUUGGUGACUGCAUUGCUGGAGUAUGGCAGAGGGGGGUGGAAUUCCACGUGUAGCAGUGAAAUGCGUAGAGAUGUGGAGGAACACCGAUGGCGAAGGCAGCACCCUGGGCCAAUACUGACGCUCGUGCACGAAAGCGUGGGGAGCAAACAGG
rnacentral:rRNA from 1 species